AACGAACGCUGGCGGCGUGUUUAAGACAUGCAAGUCGCACGGAGUCAUUUGUGUAGCAAUACUUGAAUGGCUCAGUGGCGCACGGGUGAGUAACACGUGAAUGACAUGCCCCGCAGAGGGGGAUAGCCCAGGGAAACUUGGAUUAAUACCCCAUGGCAUCGCAGGAUUAACGGGUGGCGCAAGCUGCCGCUGCGGGAUUGGUUCGCGUUCUAUCAGCUUGUUGGCGGGGUAACGGCCUACCAAGGCUACGACGGAUACCUGGUCUGAGAGGACGAUCAGGCACACUGGAACUGAGACACGGUCCAGACACCUACGGGUGGCAGCAGUCGAGAAUAAUUCACAAUGGGGGCAACCCUGAUGGUGCAACGCCGCGUGGAGGAUGAAGGUCUUCGGAUUGUAAACUCCUGUCAUCCGGGAGCAAGACCUGACGGUGAAUAGCCGGCAGGGUUGAUAGUACCGGAAGAGGAAGGGACGGCUAACUUCGUGCCAGCAGCCGCAGUAACAC
rnacentral:rRNA from 1 species